rnacentral:rRNA from 1 species
GACGAACGCUGGCGGCGUGCUUAACACAUGCAAGUCGAACGGAAAGGCCCUGCUUUUGUGGGGUGCUCGAGUGGCGAACGGGUGAGUAACACGUGAGUAACCUGCCCUUGACUUUGGGAUAACUUCAGGAAACUGGGGCUAAUACCGGAUAGGAGCUCCUGCUGCAUGGUGGGGGUUGGAAAGUUUCGGCGGUUGGGGAUGGACUCGCGGCUUAUCAGCUUGUUGGUGGGGUAGUGGCUUACCAAGGCUUUGACGGGUAGCCGGCCUGAGAGGGUGAGCGGCCACAUUGGGACUGAGAUACGGCCCAGACUCCUACGGGAGGCAGCAGUGGGGAAUAUUGCACAAUGGGCGGAAGCCUGAUGCAGCAACGCCGCGUGCGGGAUGACGGCCUGCGGGUUGUAAACCGCUUUCGCCUGUGACGAAGCGUGAGUGACGGUAAUGGGUAAAGAAGCACCGGCUAACUACGUG